GCUUAGCCCUGAUUGCAGCGGCAUCCUGCCAACCGCAGGGAGGCAGAUAAAGCGGAAAGCAGGAACAGGG
rnacentral:sRNA from 1 species